rnacentral:rRNA from 1 species
AGGGUUUGAUUAUGGCUCAGGAUGAACGCUGGCGGCGUGCUUAACACAUGCAAGUCGAACGAAGCAUAUAGAGACGAGUAUUUCGGUAUGAGUAACUAUAUGACUGAGUGGCGGACGGGUGAGUAACGCGUGGAUAACCUGCCUCAUACAGGGGGAUAACAGUUAGAAAUGACUGCUAAUACCGCAUAAGCGCACAGUGCUGCAUGGCACAGUGUGAAAAGCUCCGGCGGUAUGAGAUGGAUCCGCGUUUGAUUAGCUAGUUGGUGGGGUAAAGGCCUACCAAGGCGACGAUCAAUAGCCGACCUGAGAGGGUGACCGGCCACAUUGGGACUGAGACACGGCCCAA